GAACGUGCCCUUCGGUUCGGAAUAACUCAGGGAAACUUGAGCUAAUACCGGAUACGUGUGAGAGCAGAAAGAUUUAUCGCCGAAGGAUCGGCCCGCGUCCGAUUAGCUAGUUGGUGAGGUAAUGGCUCACCAAGGCGACGAUCGGUAGCUGGUCUGAGAGGAUGAUCAGCCACAUUGGGACUGAGACACGGCCCAAACUCCUACGGGAGGCAGCAGUGGGGAAUAUUGGACAAUGGGCGCAAGCCUGAUCCAGCCAUGCCGCGUGAGUGAUGAAGGCCUUAGGGUUGUAAAGCUCUUUCGCCAGGGACGAUAAUGACGGUACCUGGAUAAGAAGCCCCGGCUAACUUCGUGCCAGCAGCCGCGGUAAUACGAAGGGGGCUAGCGUUGUUCGGAUUUACUGGGCGUAAAGCGCACGUAGGCGGAUCUUUAAGUCAGGGGUGAAAUCCCGAGGCUCAACCUCGGAACUGCCUUUGAUACUGGAGGUCUCGAGUCCGGGAGAGGUGAGUGGAACUGCGAGUGUAGAGGUGAAAUUCGUAGAUAUUCGCAAGAACACCAGUGGCGAAGGCGGCUCACUGGCCC
rnacentral:rRNA from 1 species